GCGCUUGUAGCUCAGCUGGAUAGAGCAACAGCCUUCUAAGCCGUAGGUCGCAGGUUCGAGUCCUGCCAAGCGCACCAC
rnacentral:tRNA from 2 species